AAUUUUGGACAAUGGGGGCAACCCUGAUCCAGCCAUUCCGCGUGAGUGAAGAAGGCCUUCGGGUUGUAAAGCUCUUUUGUCCGGAACGAAACGGUCGUGGUGAAUAGCCACGGCUACUGACGGUACCGGAAGAAUAAGCACCGGCUAACUACGUGCCAGCAGCCGCGGUAAAACGUAGGAGGCAAGCGUUAUCCGGAGUAACUGGGCGUAAAGGGCGAGUAGGUGGUUGCGUAAGUUGGUUAUGAAAGCUCCUGGCUAAACUGGGAGAGGUUGACCAAGACUGCGCGACUUGAGUGGAGAAGAGGUAAACGGAAUUCCGCGUGUGGUGGUGAAAUGCGUAGAGAUGCGGAAGAACACCAGUGGCGAAGGCGGUUUACUGGUCUCCAACUGACACUGAACCGCGAAAGCAUGGGUAGCGAAC
rnacentral:rRNA from 1 species